GGCCAGCUGCGCCGCGGCUCACAGCUGACGAUGGGGGACCCCAGCAAGCAGGACAUCUUGACCAUCUUCAAGCGCCUCCGCUCGGUGCCCACUAACAAGGUGUGUUUUGAUUGUGGUGCCAAAAAUCCCAGCUGGGCAAGCAUAACCUAUGGAGUGUUCCUUUGCAUUGAUUGCUCAGGGUCCCACCGGUCACUUGGUGUUCACUUGAGUUUUAUUCGAUCUACAGAGUUGGAUUCCAACUGGUCAUGGUUUCAGUUGCGAUGCAUGCAAGUCGGAGGAAACGCUAGUGCAUCUUCCUUUUUUCAUCAACAUGGGUGUUCCACCAAUGACACCAAUGCCAAGUACAACAGUCGUGCUGCUCAGCUCUAUAGGGAGAAAAUCAAAUCGCUCGCCUCUCAAGCAACACGGAAGCAUGGCACUGAUGUAACUGUGGCUUGAUAGUUGUGUGGUUCCACCUUUGUCCCCUCCACCAAAGGAGGAAGAUUUUUUUGCCUCUCACGUUUCUCCUGAGGUGAGUGACACAGCGUGGGCAUCAGCAAUAGCAGAACCAUCUUCUUUAACAUCAAGGCCUGUGGAAACCACUUUGGAAAAUAAUGAAGGUGGACAAGAGCAAGGACCAAGUGUGGAAGGUCUUAAUGUACCAACAAAGGCUACUUUAGGUAUCCUCUAUCAUAAAAAAGAAACCAAAUCAAGCUAAAAAAGCUUGGGGCCAAAAAAGGAAGUUUGGGAGCUCAGAAACUGGCAAACACAUGCUUUAAUGAAAUUGAAAAACAAGCUCAAGCUGCGGAUAAAAUGAAGGAGCAGGAAGACCUGGCCAAGGUGGUAUCUAAAGAAGAAUCAAUUGUUUCAUCAUUACGAUUAGCCUAUAAGGAUCUUGAAAUUCAAAUGAAGAAAGACGAAAAGAUGAACAUUAGUGGC
rnacentral:lncRNA from 1 species